AGUGAACGCUGGCGGUAGGCCUAACACAUGCAAGUCGAACGGCAGCACAGGAGAGCUUGCUCUCUGGGUGGCGAGUGGCGGACGGGUGAGGAAUACAUCGGAAUCUACUCUGUCGUGGGGGAUAACGUAGGGAAACUUACGCUAAUACCGCAUACGACCUACGGGUGAAAGCAGGGGACCUUCGGGCCUUGCGCGAUUGAAUGAGCCGAUGUCGGAUUAGCUAGUUGGCGGGGUAAAGGCCCACCAAGGCGACGAUCCGUAGCUGGUCUGAAAGCAGGAUCAGCCACACUGGAACUGAGACACGGUGCGGACUCCUACGGGAGGCAGCAGUGGGGGAUAUUGGACAAUGGGCGCAAGCCUGAUCCAGCCAUACCGCGUGGGUGAAGAAGGCCGUCGGGUUGUAAAGCCCUUUUGUUGGGAAAGAAAUCCAGCUGGCUAAUACCCGGUUGGGAUGACGGUACCCAAAGAAUAAGCACCGGCUAACUUCGUGCCAGCCGCCGCAGUAA
rnacentral:rRNA from 1 species